UUGAGUAUUUCAAAAAUCGAACGCAGCCGAGUCGCAACAUCGUCGCCGCGUGCUGUUUUUCAGUGUGUACGUUUUGAUUGCAAAAAGAAAUAAGCAAACGGAAGGCAGGCAACAACGAACGCUAAAACAUUUUUCAUCUGCGGCCUGGAAAAGCGCCCAAAGAAAAUGAAUAGAUAAAUUGUGUUAAUCGCCCCAUCGAGCCAGCAAAUAUUUACUGUAUAUUUUGUUUUUGUGCUUUUUUUUUGCGUUUGGGCAUUUCUUCUUUCGUUGUUAAUUGUGCAGCUGGCCCGCCUGCGAAUGAUAAAAAUGUCAUAGACGAGGUGCCCACCCCGCCCGCCAGCAAAGCGUCACCCCGCACAUCAUCCAGCCAUGACCAGCGGCAAUCGAUGAUUGCCAUUCCCUCAGCCAACGAGAGCCAAUAGAGGCAGCCGGAAAGGAGGUGGACGGAUCCGUCGGAAGAGUCCGUCGCCGUCGCCAUUCGAGCACAACCACCGAAGCCAGAGGGAGGGAAUUCCACCUUUGAAGGGACUUAAAGGACUACACACUUCACGCCGCCAACAUGCUGAUCAAGGAGUACCGAAUCCCCCUGCCACUCACCGUGGAGGAGUACCGCAUCGCCCAGCUCUACAUGAUAGCGAAAAAAAGUCGCGAGGAAAGUCAUGGCGAGGGCAGUGGCGUCGAAAUAAUCAUCAAUGAGCCAUAUAAAGACGGACCCGGCGGAAAUGGCCAAUACACCAAGAAGAUCUACCAUGUGGGCAAUCAUUUACCGGGCUGGAUUAAAAGUCUCUUGCCCAAGAGCGCUUUAACUGUGGAGGAGGAGGCGUGGAAUGCUUAUCCUUACACCAGAACCCGCUACACUUGCCCAUUUGUGGAGAAGUUCUCGCUGGACAUCGAGACGUACUAUUAUCCGGAUAAUGGCUAUCAGGAUAAUGUCUUCCAGUUGUCCGGCAGCGAUCUGCGUAAUCGCAUAGUUGAUGUGAUUGACAUCGUGAAGGAUCAGCUGUGGGGCGGCGACUACGUGAAGGAGGAGGACCCCAAGCACUUUGUGUCGGAUAAGACGGGCCGCGGACCCCUGGGCGAGGACUGGCUGGAGGAGUAUUGGCGCGAGGUGAAGGGCAAGAAGCAGCCGACGCCACGCAACAUGUCCCUGAUGACCGCCUACAAGAUUUGCCGCGUGGAGUUCCGCUACUGGGGCAUGCAGACCAAGCUGGAGAAGUUCAUCCACGACGUGGCGCUGCGCAAGAUGAUGCUGCGCGCCCAUCGGCAGGCGUGGGCGUGGCAGGAUGAAUGGCACGGCCUAACCAUCGAGGAUAUCCGCGAGCUGGAGCGACAAACGCAAUUGGCCCUGGCCAAAAAGAUGGGCGGCGGCGAGGAGUGCAGCGAUGAUAGCGUAUCGGAACCCUAUGUGAGCACGGCGGCCACAGCGGCCUCGACGACGGGCAGCGAGCGGAAGAAGUCCGCGCCCGCCGUACCGCCCAUCGUGACCCAACAGCCGCCGAGUGCGGAAGCCAGUUCGGAUGAGGAGGAGGGCGAGGAGGAGGACGACGACGAGGACGAGAACGAUGCCAUUGGCACGGGCGUUGAUCUCUCGGCCACCAACCAAGGUGGUUCCGCCCAGCGGUCGCGUUCCCAGAGCAUCCAGAUGGCCCAGAAGGCCAAGUUCGGGUCAAAGGGCGCCCUCCAUUCGCCGGUGGGAUCGGCCCACAGUUUCGAUCUUCAGUCCAAAAAGCCGCAUGCAAAGACAGCGCCACGCAGACAUGUGGCAAACUGGCGCAUGGAGCGGUUGGAAGUGGACUCCAAGUCCAACUCGGAUGAGGAAUUUUUCGAUUGUCUGGAUACCAAUGAAACAAACUCGCUGGCCAAGUGGAGUUCCCUGGAGCUGCUGGGCGAGGGCGACGACAGUCCACCGCCACAUGGCGGUCCCUCGAGUGCGGCCUCGGUGGGCGGUGGGCGUGGCAGUUCCCGGCAAGAGGACAGCAUCUUCAACCAGGACUUUCUGAUGCGCGUUGCCUCGGAGCGUGGCAAUAAGCGCCAGUUGCGCUCAUCGGCCAGCGUGGAUCGCAGUCACGACUCCUCGCCGCCGGGAUCACCGAGUACACCGUCGUGUCCGACCACCAUUUUGAUCCUGGUCGUCCAUGCGGGCAGUGUCCUGGAUGCGGCCAGUGAGCUGACGGCCAAGAAAUCGGAUGUGACCACUUUUCGCGGUUCUUUCGAGGCGGUGAUGCGACAGCAUUAUCCCAGCCUGCUCACCCAUGUGACCAUCAAGAUGGUGCCGUGUCCAUCGAUCUGCACCGACGCCCUGGGCAUCCUGUCCAGCCUGAGUCCGUACUCCUUCGAUGCAUCUCCCUCGGCGGCGGAUAUACCGAAUAUAGCCGAUGUUCCCAUUGGAGCGAUACCACUUCUGUCCGUCGCCUCGCCGGAAUUCCAUGAGACGGUGAACAAAACCGUUGCAGCUGCAAAUAUUGUCUACCACGAGUUCUUGAAAUCGGAGGAGGGACACGGAUUUUCCGGGCAGAUUGUCAUGCUGGGUGAUUCCAUGGGCUCGCUGCUCGCCUACGAGGCCUUGUGUCGCUCCAAUGGCAGUCAGCCGGGAACGGCAUCGGGUGCCUCGAAUUCCGGCGGAGAUGGUGGCGGUCCCAAUGCGAAUAUCAACACCCACAAUCCCCUGGGGCCACGGCAUUCGCGUUUGGAUGACGACGAGCGUUUCAUCGAAGCGGACUUGGAUGCCAAGCGAUUGCUGGUGGCUCCAUCGCCGAGGAGGCGACGCUCCAGUUCGUCGAGCGAUUCGCGGGCCAGCAAACUGGACUUUGAGGUGAGCGACUUCUUCAUGUUCGGAUCGCCGCUUUCGGUGGUCCUCGCCGCACGGAAGCUGCACGAUGCCAAGGCCGCUUUGGCGAGGCCCAACUGCCACCAGGUGUACAAUCUGUUCCAUCCAACCGAUCCGAUUGCCUCGCGACUGGAGCCGCUGCUCAGCGCCAGGUUCUCCAUUCUGGCACCGGUCAACGUUCCCCGGUACGCCAAGUAUCCGCUGGGCAACGGUCAGCCAUUGCAUUUAUUGGAGGUGAUUCAGUCGCAUCCGCAGCACUUUAACGAUGGCAACAACCUGUUGGCCGGUCGCCGUUUGUCGGACGCCUCGAUGCAGAGCACGAUAUCGGGUCUGAUUGAGAAUGUCUCGCUUAGUACGAUCCACGCCCUUCAAAACAAGUGGUGGGGAACCAAGCGACUGGACUACGCUCUGUAUUGCCCGGAGGGAUUGAGCAACUUUCCGGCCCACGCCUUGCCGCAUCUGUUCCACGCCAGCUACUGGGAGAGUCCGGAUGUGAUUGCCUUCAUACUGCGCCAGAUUGGCAAGUUCGAGGGCAUACCGUUUGUGGGCUCCAACGAUGACAAGGACAACGCCUCCUUCCAUCCGGGACAGCCGCGCGAGAAGUGGAUCAAGAAGCGCACCUCGGUGAAGCUGAAAAAUGUCGCCGCCAAUCAUCGGGCGAACGAUGUGAUCGUCCAGGAGGGCAGGGAGCAGCGAUUGAAUGCCCGAUUCAUGUAUGGCCCACUGGACAUGAUAACGCUCCAUGGCGAGAAGGUGGAUGUGCACAUUAUGAAGGAUCCGCCGGCGGGCGAAUGGACAUUCCUCAGCACCGAGGUGACCGACAAGAACGGACGCAUCUCGUACAGCAUCCCGGAUCAGGUGUCCCUCGGCUAUGGCAUCUAUCCGGUGAAGAUGGUCGUCCGGGGCGAUCACACCUCGGUGGAUUGCUAUAUGGCGGUGGUGCCGCCAUUGACCGAAUGCGUUGUCUUCAGCAUCGAUGGCUCCUUCACCGCCUCGAUGUCGGUGACGGGCAGGGAUCCCAAGGUGCGAGCGGGCGCCGUCGAUGUCUGCCGGCACUGGCAGGAGCUGGGCUACCUGCUCAUCUACAUCACCGGCCGACCCGAUAUGCAGCAACAGCGCGUCGUUUCCUGGCUGAGCCAGCACAAUUUCCCCCACGGCCUCAUCUCGUUCGCCGAUGGCCUGUCCACCGAUCCUCUCGGCCACAAGACGGCCUAUCUCAACAAUCUGGUGCAGAACCACGGAAUCUCAAUCACCGCCGCCUACGGCAGCAGCAAGGAUAUCAGUGUCUACACGAAUGUGGGCAUGCGCACCGAUCAGAUCUUCAUUGUGGGCAAGGUUGGCAAGAAGCUGCAGGCGAAUGCCACCGUCUUGAGCGAUGGCUAUGCCGCCCACUUGGCCGGUUUGCAGGCGGUGGGCGGUUCGCGUCCGGCGAAGGGAAAUGCCCGCAUGGUCAUCCCACGCGGAUGCUUCAAUCUUCCCGGACAGACGGCGAAUCCGCGGCGCAGAAGGCUGCAUGAACAAGCAACGAAUGAAAAUUAAAUUGCAACUUAAACGAAAAACAAUAAAUUGUUUAGAGCAAUUAAACUGCAAUGAAAAGCAUCUUGUAAACAGAUAGAAGCAAAAAAAACCUAAACAAUACAGACAAUUGGUGUUAGUUUUAGUGUCUUAGAAUAUUCCCUAUACUCCCCACACGUUUUUUGAGUUUUUACGUUAUAAGUAUUUUGAAGCAUACUUAGCUGAGCAUUUUAUUUAUUUAUUGAUUGAUUGGUGUUGUGAAGAUAAACAAAAAAAAAAAAAAUCAAAGUUUUUAGAAAUCACUGAAAAUACCCACCAUAUUAGAGGUGGGGAAAAUUCGAUACGAGUCGAGUCCACCUUUAAAACUCACUUAGAGCCAAAAUUCAACUCUUUUUCUCAACGAUAACUCUGUCUCUCUUUUUCCAAAAAAAAAAAAAAAAACAACAAAAAUUGCUUGAACAAUAAAAAAAACCAAAAACGAAUUACCCACACACACACAUACCACACACGCACACACUGCCAUCGACCUUGUUAUCGAUAAACAGCAACGAGACAGGACUCUCAUCACCCAUACGCAGUGGUUACCUGAAGCGCAAGACCUACCUGAGCCACCACUAGAUCAACCGAGAUGCAGCUAUAUAGAUCGAUCCGAUCAGAUCCAUCCGACAAAACGAAAGAUCCCCCAGAACCCAAUUUAGAAACCCCCUUCGAAAUAGCGAAAAGUAUAUAGCCAAAGGACAACAGCACCGAAGCCUCCAUAUGCCACAUCUGUGUAUAUACCAUAUAUAUAUAUUUAUAUACUAUGCGCGAUAUAUUGAAAGUUCAAUGGUGUAAUAUAUAUAUAUCAAAAACAAAAUAUGCAAAUGAGAAAAAAACAAUUGUACAACAUUUAACAAAAGUCAAAUGUGUCACGCGGUACCUGGAAAGAAAGACUGUUUCCUCCUGUUGUUUGAUGGUUUUUCAAACCACUUAAAGCAUUAAAAAACAUUGAAAACUACACGAAACAAAAGGCGAUCGUUAAGCGAUCUACUAAAUACAAUUACAAGAGAUAUAUACAAAGAUAUAUUCAAAAUAUAGAGAAGCGUUUAACAUAUGCAGGCGAACAAAGUUCAACAAACCGAGCAAGGUACAACAACGGAAGGACAAACCAAUGAAACCGAAGAUCUCCCGAUGACUAAGGAUACAACUAAGACAAGGACGAGGACAAGGACGAAGACGAGGAAAGCGUUGCAAAAUCAAAAGGCAAAUUUUAUGCAUUUCUUGACAAACAACCACUAAAAAACUCUUACGAAAAGUAUAAAUUAACGGCUUCCGUAAACCAAACAAAAAUCUACAAAUAUAUAUAUCUAUAUAUAUAUAUAUAUAUCUAUAUGUGUGCGUGUAAAAUUGACAAAAAAAAGAACAACGGGUUUUAGAAAAGAAACUUGAAAUUAAAAUCGUCAUGAAAAUGAAUACAAUCUCUUACCUGGCCCAGAAAUUUCAAAUCUCCAUAAUUGUGAUAGUCUUUCGCUACCAAAAGUUAAAUUAAAAAAUGAAAAAAAAACAGCAAAGUAUAUUUAUCUCUACUAAAAUUGUUAAUCGGAAAAUUUGAAUUCGAAGAAAGUUGAUGUUGAUGAUGUUGGAUAUUGUGUAAACGUAAAACCCGAUUUUGUGAUACCAAAAACUAAAACCGAAACCAAAGUUGAGUUCGAGAUUAGAUCAAGCCGAAAACUCCUCGUGUUAGAAGUCUAAACCAAAAACCAAAAACCAAAAAGAAAAAAAAAAACUCAAGGCGACCUGAAGAUGUAACGGGCAUGGAAUCUGACCCAUUAAAAACUAUAUAUAUAUAUAUACCACUAUGUAUGCAUAACCCAGUUAUGUGCUGUCCACACAAGUUAACUAAAAACUCUCUCACAACAAAUAAGCAAAAUAAAUCUCAGAUAUAAACCAGAUAAAACAGAAUUGAAGGUACAUACAUACAAAGGGACCUUAACGUGAAGCUAACUAUAUAGAGUAUGUAUUCAGUUCGAUCUGUUUAGCCGAAGUUGGUUAACCAUCGAGUAGUUGAGUUGCGAGAAUAAGAUAUUUCCUAAACUGCUAAAUUAACGCAAAUUGAAGUGUUUAAACCGAUAGUUGUAACGAGAGCAGAGUAAUUGUAUAUGUAAGGCCAAAGACUAUAGAAUAUCAAGAUGUUGCAUCCCAUACAAAAAAUUUUUCGUUUCUGUUUCGAGCUUCAUGAUGCGGUCGGUCGGGGUGAAAAGGGAAAAUCUAAAAAUAGAAACACGACGAACUGCUGCUUUCGGCUUUCGUCUUCGUUUUUAAUAUUCGUCGUGUUCCCAAAGUGGGAAUUUGAUCAUAGCUGACAAUUUUCAGUUUAUCGGGCUUUAUACACUUUACAAUAGUAGAAGGGUAUAUCAGACUUGUAAAGCAUUAAUAUUUUAUUUUCUUUAAUUUUCAUUUAAAUCAUAAUUUUUCGUUUAUAAUAAUUAAAUUAAAGAAUUCUUAGGUGCAAUAUUAAUAAUGUUCCUUAUUCAGAUAAUUGUGUCGUUAAAUUUUCACCCAUGCGAAUGUACAUACGCGUGUUAGGGUAUUUUGCUGCUCACCAUGAUACAAUUAUACAAGGUAGUCCACUCGGCUUGCCGAAGUCGUUCGGUUUUGGUCCCUUAUUUUCAGUGCGUCCCUGCUUGUCAAACUGAAGCACAAUGUAGCCGUUUCACUCACACUUACUUGACAAAGUUAAAUUAGGGGACUAUGGAUUUUGCCGAGUAGACUACCUUGUAUAAUUGUAUCAGGCUGUUCACCACUUGCAUGAACGCAAAAAAAAUUAUAAAAGCAAAAAAUUGAAAAAAAAUGUAAAAAUAAAAUAAUUAAUUAAUUUACACACAAAAAAAAAGAAAAAAAAACAAUUUAUGAUAUGGCUGGGGGCUCGGCGGGGAUACGAACCCGGGCCUUCAUGUACACGAGGCAUAGCAUCUACCACAACACCACCGGGCUUCAUGAAGCGCGGCGAACUAAUUGAGUAUAUGGUCUUAGCUGCCUUUAAAAGUGCAAAGUCAUGUGGGUCUCCAUAUCAAGACCCACCAUAGAACGAUUUUUUUGAGGUCAUGCAACAUCUUGAUAUUCUAUAGUCUUUGGUAAGGCUAUAUACCUACACUAUAUACUGUAUAUUUAUCUAGCGCAACUACAUUAAGGACUUUUGAAGCUAGCUAACUACAAAAGUGUUCCGAUAAAAGUAUUGUCCGGCUAUACGUUCCUCUUUCCUCCAUUUGAGUCGAUUUAAAAAAAUCUACGUUUAUUUUUUGUAGCGAGUAUUUGAAUAAAAAGUAAAAAGCGAUGGAAGAUCCACUAGAUUGUAAGAUGAUUCUGUCUACCCACGAAGAGUUUAUCCUAUAUAAGUACGUAGCAAGUUGGUUCCAGCAUGAGGAAUAAAAGUUUAAGGCAAGUCCUAGGAAAAAUCACACCAGAUACUCAUAGAGUCGAAGGGUUUAUAUCUGUCUAUUUAACUGGUAUAUUACAGCUUUUGGGCUAAAUGUUUACUUUAAUUAACUUUCCAGGAAAAAGAUUUAUUAGAGCUAAAUUACUUACUCAAAUUUUCCUUGUGUUUUUAAAUGUCCCAAAAGUCUUUAUGUUUGUUUCUUAAAUAUUCCUGGUUUAUUAUUAGUAGAACUGUCUUUCUUGCCUCUCCUUUAAUCCACCAAAAGAAGAACUCCCAAAGCCAAUAGAGCGCUAAGCUAAAUUGUAUUGAUAUUUUGAGAACCCACCAUUUAGAUAAUAAGCUAAUGCCCCCACAAACAAUGACGACGAUGACUAAUGCAGAGAGAAAAUAAUCAAAGAACAAAGUACUCCAAACAAUGGACAGGUUUAAGAACUAAAUGCAAUUGUUACGUGAAUAAGUGAAUAUAUGUCCGCAUGGUUAUAUAUUUUAAUUAUUAAGUGCAAAAGUCCAGGAACAACAAAUACGAAUUCAGAUUGUAAACAAUUAAAAGAAGAACGAGGCAAAGAAGCAAAGAAAAAAUAUAUAAAAUUAUUUAUUGACAACCAAAUCUACAAGCAGAAAAAGAACAAAAAAACGCGGAGCAAGCCAAAUGCAAUCUAUUUACAAAAACCUAAAAAGAAUAUAUGUAUGUGAAGCGAAGCAAGAAUGACAAGCAGAAGAGUUAAAGAUAGCUAACCCGAGAGAAAGGAAUAUAUAUACAAGCAUAUAUAAUAUAUAAACCUACCCAAAAAGAAAAGAUUUUUAAGCCAAUAGUUGCAAUUGGACUAUGACAAAUAACAAAAGUAAACAAAUUGAAAUAUGACAGUAAAGAAUAUUUUUCGAUGUAAGCUGUUUGUUAGAAAAAGAUCGAGUUUCAGCGAAUGAUAUGGCUAAAUCAGUUAAUCAUUUCAAGCAAAAUCGAAAACAAAGCGGUUCAUGAAAAGAUAAGAAAAAAUACAAAAAACAAAUGUUCUAUUUGAUGUUGCAAAUGAGAAAAAUAAAUAAAACAUGCUAUG